CUCCCUCUCCGUCCUUGUUCAAGCCCCUGCCCCCAAUCCCCGAGCCCGCAGAAGGUGUGGGUUGGGUGGCAUUGGGUGAAGUCAGAAUAAACACUUUCAGAAAGCCCCUAGCUUCACGUCUUAGGAGUCUCCCAACGUUCUGGACUAGGGUUUUAUGACCCCAGCUUCUCUAUUUUCUAGAACUCCUGAGCUGAGAAAACCGGAGGGAGGAAGCCCUUGUCUAGAACCGUUUCAUGCGUCAAUUAUAACACGUCAGAGCCUGGGCCCUCCUUCUGGGGAAAGAUUAACAAAGCCUUAGUUCCCUUGCUCCUGGAUUAACCAGUGGUUAGUGGAGAUGCGAGAAAAGACGCUAAUGCUGGCAAGGCAAUAACAUGGACUUCCUCGCCUUAUUCCUCUUUUCAUCAGAGAUGGCAAAACCAGCAGCUCCUUCUGCCUCGAGUUGCUUACUGAACUGAAAGGAAAGGAGUGUACACAAAGAAGCCAUAGGAACAAAAGCCAGCUGGUGGUGCGCAGGUAUAUCUCCACAAGCGUCCCGCACCGUUAAGAGACAGAACCACGGGGACUUGCUGGCCUCAGUCUAGCUCCAAGUUCAGUCUCAAGGGAACAAGAUAGACCUCUGAGCUACUGCAGUGUCUGGCACUGGGCCAUAAAAGACGAACUGGGAAGGGACCCCUAUUCCUUCACAUGAAGUAAAGCCAGGGCCCCACUCUGCUGUCUUCCAAGACUAGAAGCACAGCACAGGAAGCGAAGAUAAAGACCCUUGAUGAUAGCUUGGUGGAUAAGCUCUUGCUCUGCAUGCGCAGCCCCUUGGUCCUACUUCACCCCCACUCCCAAUUCAAGGAACAGAGAAGAGGAAUGAGAACACAGAGAGGGAGAGAAAAACUUGGUAAGAUAUUGAGACUCCCAUGUUUUGGUCCAAAGCAAGGGAGUAAAACAGCAGUUUCUAGGUUGUGUUCCAUUAGGUCCGUGUUCUAAGUGGGAAUAGAUCAUGUGUUCAGAGCCUCUUACCUACCCUGCUUCUCCCUCAGAGCUGAACCCCAAUGGUCACCCUCAUUCCACUCCAGCCUCCAAAUGUAUUUGUUAAAUUAGGUUUUAACUCCAGAGAGGAAACCAAAAACCUUCUACUUGGUCUGAGAAUCCUAAUAGUGAAGUUUAUACAUUUUUAUUUAUCUAAUUUUUUUGAGACAGGGCCUUCCUACUGAAGUUUAUACAUUUUGUUCAGUGAACACUGUGUGAGACACCAGAGGAGCAAGUCUGAACUCCCUAACACUUUCAGUUUGCCAAGGGAUCUCCAGAGACAUGGGUCAAGGCAGGUCUACGCAAAGAGCUCUCUGGAGGCUGAGGCAGGAGGAUAACUGAGUUUGAGGCCAGACUGGGAUGCAUUUGAGAUCCUGUCUCAAAGGAGGAUAAGGAAAAGGGAGUGGCAAGGGUUUGGGGGGAAGUGAAGAGGGAGAGAAAGAGAAAGGAAGGCCUGGGAAGAGGUAACCAGCAUGGGUGGCUAGCACGGCAAGCUCUCUUCCUUGAGUAUCUGCAGUCUCGCUGCGCUUGGGAUCACACCUGAAGGCUAAGGCUGGUCCCAUUCCUGAGUUGCUCCCCUUGCAGCUUCUUAUCUCCACAUCAGACAUCUGAGUACAGACCCCGUUCCUACCCUUAUGCCUAAAAUUUCAAGCUCUUUCUCAGCUAUGUAAGACCUUACAAACACAAAGGGCGUAACUAGGAACCCAGGAGAAGGGGUCCAGAUUCCUUUCCAAGCAUCACUUUCAAGCCCUACCUCAUCUGGUUCUUCCCCUCGUGCCUCCCACCCUUUCCAGCCCGAUCACGAUCACUCUCUUUGUUCUAUUAACCCUCAAUUUCAAGCUCACAGUCCUCCUAGGUAGUUUUCUUCCGGUCUCAGUACUUGUCAUCAACUUCUCAGCUUGUUCCUGGCCUCCUCCUCCUCUCCUGACCGGCUUGAUCUCUGUGAUAAGUCAGUUUGGUGUUUCAUUUUAUGGCUUCUUUAGACAACCUAGGCUACCUCUAGUAGCUGAGGCUAUUCCCAUUUCCACCUCUUCCCCUUGGGUGUCUCUCUGCGCUCCAUCCAAGGCUGACUUGUCUGUUACUCGCUGCCUUGAUCCUUUCUCUGCACCUGCCUCAUCCGGGGCUCCCUCCAAGGUAUCUCUCUCGUCCAGGGCACCGUCAGCUCCCUCUGCCCCAUCUGUUCCCUUGCCCACCUCUCCUGCUCUCUCCUGUCUGUAGAAUUCGGUUAGCCGCCCCUCUUUGCGCUCCACCUUUGUCUUUGACUCUCUCCACUCUAACUGUCCCACUAGUUUUUCUGGUCAUCUUCGGUCUUCGCUCUUGCUCUCUAGCUAAGUCUCUCCCUUCUGUGACUUCUUUUCUCUCUUUUGUCUCUCCCUCUUCCCUUCCUAUCUGGGUAUCUUUGGAUCUGCCUCUUCCCCCACCCCCAACCCCUACCCAUCGCUCCGUCUGUCCCCGAUUUCUCUGACUCGGUCCCUCCUGGCUUCCCCCCUCCCCCCCUCAUCUCUCGGUCUCUUCAUCUUUCUCUGGGCCCGUG
rnacentral:sRNA from 1 species